CAAUAGCGUAUAUUAAAGUUGUUGCAGUUAAAAAGCUCGUAGUUGAAUUUCUGGUCAUUUUUAGUCUUGGCUUCGGUCGGGCUAGAGGUGGCCAUCCGUCUGCAAGCUAUUCUCGGCCUUCAUUGGUUCGGAUUAGCGAGCUGACAUUUUACUUUGAAAAAUUAGAGUGUUUCAGGCAGGCUUUUGCCCGAAUACAUUAGCAUGGAAUAAUGGAAUUGGACUCUGGUCCAUUUGGUUGGUUAUUGGAUCUGAGUAAUGGUUAAUAGGGACAGUUGGGGGCGAUUAGUAUUUAAUUGUCAGAGGUGAAAUUCUUGGAUUUAUUAAAGACUAACUUAUGCGAAAGACAUUUGUCCAAGGAUGUUUUCUAUUAAUUCAAGAACGAAAGUUAAGGGGAGUC
rnacentral:rRNA from 1 species